UGCAGCCCAGGGCUGACCACUGUGUGGAAGGGGCAGCACACUCACGUAUGUGCACACACACUCACACCUGACACAAGGAGGCUCACACGUGGCCUGGGAGCAGGGAAGCAGGAAGGACCCUUCAACAUGUGGCCCUUGACAGGGGCAAUGGCCAAUGGUCACUGGGCUGCUGCCCUGCCCUGGGUCCCACUUAGAGGGGGAUUUGUUGCAGCUUGGGCUGGGGCCAGGCCACCCAUCGUAUUCUUUCCGUUUACCUUGUACAGACUGCCCGCCCGCCAUCCCCACACACAUUUUAUUUAAUAACUUGUCAUUGUUAAAUUAUUUAUUAGCGUUUCCACAUCACCACCCCCGCCUUCCACUCACCUUCUGCCUCUUCCCACAAAAGCAGAAAAUGGAAACAGCGAGGAAAAAAAAAAGACGAGAUGUUGGUAUAUUUGUAAAUAAAGAACCUGUACACUCC
rnacentral:lncRNA from 1 species